UCUUCCGCAAUGGACGGAAGUCUGACGGAGCGACGCCGCUUGGAGGAGGAAGCCCUUCGGGGUGUAAACUCCUGAACUGGGGACGAAAGCCCCGUGUAGGGGGAUGACGGUACCCAGGUAAUAGCGCCGGCCAACUCCGUGCCAGCAGCCGCGGUAAUACGGAGGGCGUGAGCGUUACCCCGAUUUACUGGGCGUAAAGGGCGUGUAGGCGGCCUGGGGCGUCCCAUGUGAAAGGCCACGGCUCAACCGUGGAGGAGCGUGGGAUACGCUCAGGCUAGAGGGUGGGAGAGGGUGGUGGAAUUCCCGGAGUAGCGGUGAAAUGCGCAGAUACCGGGAGGAACGCCGAUGGCGAAGGCAGCCACCUGGUCCACUCUACGCUAGCGCGAAG
rnacentral:rRNA from 1 species